AGUGAACGCUGGCGGUAGGCCUAACACAUGCAAGUCGAGCGGCAGCACAGUAAGAGCUUGCUCUUACGGGUGGCGAGUGGCGGACGGGUGAGGAAUACAUCGGAAUCUACUUUUUCGUGGGGGAUAACGUAGGGAAACUUACGCUAAUACCGCAUACGACCUACGGGUGAAAGCAGGGGAUCAUCGGACCUUGCGCGAUUGAAUGAGCCGAUGUCGGAUUAGCUAGUUGGCGGGGUAAAGGCCCACCAAGGCGACGAUCCGUAGCUGGUCUGAGAGGAUGAUCAGCCACACUGGAACUGAGACACGGUCCAGACUCCGACGGGAGGCAGCAGUGGGGAAUAUUGGACAAUGGGCGCAAGCCUGAUCCAGCCAUACCGCGUGGGCGAAGAAGGCCUUCGGGUGGUAAAGCCCUUUUGUUGGGAAAGAAAAGCAGCAGGUUAAUACCCCGCUGUUCUGACGGUACCCAAAGAAUAAGCACCGGCUAACUUCGUG
rnacentral:rRNA from 1 species